rnacentral:rRNA from 1 species
GAUGAACGCUGGCGGCGUGCUUAACACAUGCAAGUCGAACGAUGAAGCCCAGCUUGCUGGGUGGAUUAGUGGCGAACGGGUGGGUAACACGUGAGUAACCUGCCCUUAACUCUGGGAUAAGCCUGGGAAACUGGGUCUAAUACCGGAUAGGAGCGUCCACCGCAUGGUGGGUGUUGGAAAGAUUUAUCGGUUUUGGAUGGACUCGCGGCCUAUCAGCUUGUUGGUGAGGUAAUGGCUCACCAAGGCGACGACGGGUAGCCGGCCUGAGAGGGUGACCGGCCACACUGGGACUGAGACACGGCCCAGACUCCUACGGGAGGCAGCAGUGGGGAAUAUUGCACAAUGGGCGCAAGCCUGAUGCAGCGACGCCGCGUGAGGGAUGACGGCCUUCGGGUUGUAAACCUCUUUCAGUAGGGAAGAAGCGAAAGUGACGGUACCUGCAGAAGAAGCACCGGCUAACUACG